GCUAGAGGAGAAGACAUGUUAGAGCCUCUUGCUUCUCUCGGAUAUUCUUCUAGUUUGAAGAUUUGUAUAGAGAAUAUGGAGCUGGGCUGCUUCCUGGAAACAUGUAAGUGGAGAUCUUCAUCACAGGUCUUGAGGCAGCUGGAGCAGCUUUCUGGUCAGACAGAAGAACUGAGAUGGAAAUUCCAAAUAUAUAAAUCUGCUCUUAAGGAAUGAAGACUUGUUCUAUCACCUGCUGAAGUCAAGGGGGUAUUGCCUUUGCUUCAUUUCAGAACUGGACCUGGAUGUAGAUCACUCAAAUGGAAUUGUAGGCAGAGGUUAAAGGCAGAAGAUGAUGAUUAAAUCUCUUCAACCUCAUCAACUCUCCAUUAAAGACACUUUUCAAGGCAAGGACUUACUAAGGGACCACUGUGUUUUUGGACACCCUGUCCCCAAUUAGAAACUAAACAGAAGUCAUCUUCUUCAGCCUCUGAAACAGUCAUGCCUGAUAGUAAGAUUUGUGGCAGGGCUGCCUGGCCCCUGACUUCCAGGCUGGGUGCUGCCAAUGACAUGGAGUAGCUCCUACUUCAGUCAGAUGUCCUCAAAGUCAGAGAAAAGAUUUUAUUAGGGGUUGGAGACUUGAUCAAGCACCUGCCUCAUCACUGCACGGGCUUUGCAAGAUGUACCUGCCUUCAUCAUGGUGCCCAUGGGAAGACUGCUGGGUGGCUGGAGAAGAAGGGCUCCUACCCACAGCACUUGGUUUCCACUCACUGAAAUGACCUGCACUCACUCAUUGCAACUUGUAGUAUGGAUAAAAUCCAGGCUCAGCCAAAGUCCAUGACCAAAAGCCUUUGAAUUUGAGCAGGGCUGUGCUUUCACCCAUGGACUCUUCCCCAUUAGACAGCUUAGACUAAUUGAGUUAACAAUUACCUCCCAUGUGAUGACCAGCUCAGAACGGCUCCCUCCUCCUCCGCUGAUGUUUGUUGGUGCCACGGCAGGAACUGGAGAAGAAAAGACAGUUGGUGCUUGCAACUACCCACUGCUACUGCCGGAGGUCUUGUUAAGUGGAUGUUGCUGAAGAAGUAUAAAAAAGACGACAACCCUGAAACUGAUCGAGACAGAAGCCUCCUAUAAGAAGACCUUUGUACUCUUUGACAUCUCCAAAACCUUGCUCCAGCCUUGUGAAUGCCAUUAAUUAAAAAAAAAAAAAAAAAAAAAAAAAAAUAAAAAGUUUUGAAACAUGAAAGUUUUUACUGACUGUAUAGGUGGUUUUGAAUACCACACUUUACAAAGUCCCGAGGUAGUAACAGCAAGAAAGACCUUCUCAAGAUUAAUUUUGACUUCAUAAUCAAUCAUAUAAUGGAGAACACAUAUCUGUGAUACUCUACUGGGAAAUUUAGAAUAUCUGGCCUCUUCCUGAAUCCAGCUUUUCCUUAGCCUUCCCUUUCUAUGUUGUCCUUUACUCCUUGCAUGUGAAAUUUUCCUGUACUUCUCUGGCUGGAAGGGUUCAGGGACCACUUGGACUUGAAUCCCCUGGACACCUAAGCCCAGGUAGGAUCAGUGCAUCUUUCCAGGCUGGAGGGUUGCAGGCUCUUCCCUCUGCUUGGGAGCAGCCUACUAUCUACUUUACUGCCACACUGGCCAAGCAGUCGUGAUGGCUGAUAAGACGCAUCAGAUGUCUCUCUGUACCUGGAAAGCUGACAAAAUCUAUCCAAAUUGGUGUUCUACUGAGCAAAUAGUCCAUUCUGGCAUCAGUACUCAGUAUAAGUUUUUGCUUCAACAACAGGAAAAAGAACUUAUUAAAUUUAAAUCAGCUGAUCUAAUACAUUUUGAAGUAAUUGUGCCUUGGGACAAAUAUUGUAGGUAUUCUGAGAAACAAAUGGAUCCUCCAUUCCAAGGAGAUAUAUAUAUAUAUAUAUAUAUAUAUAUAUAUAUAUACUGCAGUAUAAUGUACAACAAAGGUUUGGUCUUCAAAUAAAUUGUACCAAACUGAGUAGGUCAAAGGACUGACAGUGUCGGUCAUACAGAAAUGAGUCUUCUUCCUAUGAGGUUUCAAGUCCCAGAAGUUAAAUAUAUAAAGUUUAGACAGGCAGAUAGUAAGGAUCCCAUCCUAGAGUCAGUGAAAGCCAUUAGUUGCACUGGGCUUUGGAUGCUCCAAUUUAUUUCCUCCAGUUAAAGCCAAUAUCCUGUCUGCACAGAUGCUCAGAUAUCAAACAGCCUCUGCAGCAACGGCACUACAUGCUAUAUGCCAGAGAGCUGACUUUAUAAUUUUCUAUACAAGUCCCUAAGCAUGGUAUAAAUUCAGUUAUAAUUGAAAGAAAACAAAUGCUACUCCCCAGUUGCUUGAAUGAAAGCUUGUGGUCAGGCAUGGGGAUUAGAUAUACUUUGGGACAUAUCAAAGAGAGGAAACAUAGGCCAGCUUCAGCCUUUAUUACUGGCCCGAGUGAACUUCAAACUAGAGAGCAAAGUGUGUCAUACCUCAAUCAUGUUCAAGCAACCCUUGCAUCCACAGCACAGGCCUGCUGUCAUUAAGCCAUAGCAGUCACAAACUAAACUGUCAGACAGAUAUGUAAGUAACCUUGUAGGACGGAGUGGCUCUGCUGCAGUGAAAUUCUCAGAUUUGGGAGCUGGCAAUCUGCCUGUGUGGAAAAAAAUCUGCCUGUGUGGAAAAAAACUGUCAGAAACUAGGGACUUACCUGCUGC